rnacentral:rRNA from 1 species
GAUGAACACUGGCGGCGUGCCUAAUACAUGCCAGUCGAGCGAACAGAUGAGGAGCUUGCUCCUCUGACGUUAGCGGCGGACGGGUGAGUAACACGUGGAUAACCUACCUAUAAGACUGGGAUAACUUCGGGAAACCGGAGCUAAUACCGGAUAAUAUAUUGAACCGCAUGGUUCAAUAGUGAAAGACGGUUUUGCUGUCACUUAUAGAUGGAUCCGCGCCGCAUUAGCUAGUUGGUAAGGUAACGGCUUACCAAGGCAACGAUGCGUAGCCGACCUGAGAGGGUGAUCGGCCACACUGGAACUGAGACACGGUCCAGACUCCUACGGGAGGCAGCAGUAGGGAAUCUUCCGCAAUGGGCGAAAGCCUGACGGAGCAACGCCGCGUGAGUGAUGAAGGUCUUCGGAUCGUAAAACUCUGUUAUUAGGGAAGAACAAAUGUGUAAGUAACUAUGCACGUCUUGACGGUACCUAAUCAGAAAGCCACGGCUAACUACGUG